CGGACAGACAGCAUGAAGCGCAGCAGAAUGAAUAGCCAGAAGACUCGGACAGGCAGAGCCGAAGGACCGCAGAGCUCAGCGCCAGAGCAGAAUGAUUCUUCUGAAUGGAGGCUACAGAAUUUCUUUACUCUGCAUAACACUGAAGGCCAUUAGCCUAAACAGGUGAGAAGGAAAAGCAUUUAAUCUGGUGUAUGGAAAUUGAAGCCCUCCUGCAAACUUCUCUAAGGAAGGAUCCUGAUUUGAAAGGCUAUUGAGGUUUGGCAGCAACUAAAGCAAAUAGACUAGAAGGGGGCCACAAGCCACGUAAUGUGGGAAGCCUUCAGAAGCCAGAAAAAGCAAAGAAAUGGAUCCUCCCCAGAGCUUCCAGAAAAGAACACAGACAGCCCUGCUGACACCUUGAUUUUCACCCAGUGAGAGGCAUGUCAGACUUCGUUCUUUUUUCUCUUAUUUAUUUAUUUUAAUUUUUACUAUGUUCUUUUUGAGACUCUUUUUGAGU